AUUGUCCUCCCCUACCUAAGCCUUUUCCUCAUGGGAGGGGUCGGUUCUGUUGGGUGGGGCCUCAGUGCUGCACUGUGGCCCCCCUGAUGUACUCCCUCUCUGCCUGUGUGCCAGGGACCUCCCAGGUGUGGCUGCCACAGAAGAGACGGGUGUGCCCCUGCUCCUGGUGGACACCGCCGGCUGCGGGCUGUUUGAGCUGGAGGAGGAGGACGAACAGUCGAAAGGGAACCCUGGCGAAGUCCGCCUCGUCAGUUUGCACAUCCAGGCUCUGGUGGACGCUGGUGUUCCAGCCCGUGACAUUGCCGUGGUCUCGCCAUACAACCUCCAGGUGGACCUGCUCAGACAGAGCCUUGUGCACAGGCACCCCGAGCUUGAAAUCAAGUCUGUCGAUGGCUUCCAAGGCCGAGAGAAGGAGGCCGUGAUACUGUCCUUCGUCAGAUCCAACAGGAAAGGUGAAGUUGGUUUUCUUGCUGAGGACCGGAGGAUCAACGUGGCUGUCACCCGUGCCCGACGCCACGUGGCGGUCAUCUGUGACUCCCGUACUGUCAAC
rnacentral:sRNA from 1 species